rnacentral:tRNA from 1 species
UGUAGCUCAGUGGCAGAGCACUUGCCUAAAAUGUACAAGACUCUAGGUUCAAUUCUUAGCA